AGAGUUUGAUCCUGGCUCAGAGCGAACGUUAGCGGCGGGCCUAACACAUGCAAGUCGAACGAGAAAGUCCUUCGGGGCGAGUAUAGUGGCGCACGGGUGAGGAACGCGUAGGUAAUCUACCCUCCGGCGGGGGACAACAUUCCGAAAGGAAUGCUAAUACCGCAUAUGACCACGCUCACUACGGUGAAAGUGGUAAAAGGCGCCUCAAAGCGCCACCAGAGGAUGAGCCUGCGUCCCAUCAGCUUGUUGGUAAGGUAACGGCUUACCAAGGCUAAGACGGGUAGCUGGUCUGAGAGGAUGAUCAGCCACACUGGCACUGGAACACGGGCCAGACUCCUACGGGAGGCAGCAGUGAGGAAUAUUGGGCAAUGGGCGAAAGCCUGACCCAGCCACGCCGCGUGUGUGAUGAAGGCCUUCGGGUCGUAAAGCACUGUGGGGAGAGACGAAACAGCGCAUCAGGAAAUGGUUGCGCCUUGACGGUACCUCCUUAGCAAGCACCGGCUAACUCUGUGCCAGCAGCCGCGGUAAUACAGAGGGUGCAAACGUUGCUCGGAUUUACUGGGCGUAAAGCGCGUGUAGGCGGACUCGCAAGUCGGUUGUGAAAUCCCUGGGCUCAACCUAGGAACUGCAUCCGAAACUGCUUGUCUUGAGUAAUGGAGAGGGUGGCGGAAUUCCCGGUGUAGAGGUGAAAUUCGUAGAUAUCGGGAGGAACAUCAGUGGCGAAGGCGGCCACCUGGACAUUUACUGACGCUGAGACGCGAAAGCGUGGGGAGCAAACAGGAUUAGAUACC
rnacentral:rRNA from 1 species